GUUUCGUUGGUGCAGUGGUAGCAUGCCCUCUUAGGGUUGAAUUACGUAAUUCAGCUUUGGGGGUGGUCCUCGGUUCAAUCCCGGGACGAGACCCAUUUAUCUUUUUCGUCUUUGUGGUGAAAUGUUUCGGCAAAUCGCGAGAUUAAAUUCGUAACCGGAAUGAAGUGUUCCGCGAAAGGGCCCGCGAAGGGACCCACCUUUGUUAGUCAUUUUCGUUGUUCUUGUCACUGUUGGGUCGUAAAUUGCUCGGCCACCUAUGUCAUUUAUCUAUUUCUUUCCUCUUCCCGCCCAGAGUAAAAGAAAAAUAGCCAGCCUCCCAGGGGGUCUGCGUUGCAGGUUAUGUUUGCAGCAAUAAAGUGGAUAUGCACACCUCUCCUACUACCGAAUAUCAUCAUCAUGAUAUUGUGCCAUUAUUUACAAAUGUUGGGUUGACUUGCUCUUUCCAUUACAGGCUAAUGAAAAGACAGGAGACCAUGAUCACUCAAGAACCAAAUUUUUACAAAUAGAUUUAUCAUUUUGACCUAAUCUUCAGCCUUAUUAAUCCGACAGCCAGCCCGUCAUCUUCCUACCACAUCCUUCACAAUCUGGUGCUUCAUUCGCGCGCAAGAAUUUGAUGACGGGUAAUUGUCCGACACCCGCUAGCAUCCGUUCGACAUGUUGCUGUACCAUCUCCCUGACCCUUUCUAUACCCUCUUGCAGAAUUUGGUCUUCGGUGUCUUGUCCGUAGAUAUCUGGAUUCCCGUAUACCGGCGUAUCCACCGAGAGAAACUGCUCAAGACCGUAAAACUCGAAAACGGUCCGCUGUAUUGAUUUUCUGCCGCCUUUUCUAUUGUUGAGGCGACAAUGUUUGAAUGAUCGGCUAAGACAAUCGGCAAGCAUGCUUGUAACCUCUUCUUCAGAAAAGCCAGCCGAAAAAAAUGCCGCAACGUCGUCGUCUCCAUCAAAGUCGCUCAUAUGACUAGGAAGGCCAACGCCGUCAUCAUAAAUCCCUCCAAAGUCAUCGACUGCGUCCAGCUCGUCGUCCCAGCCAUACUCGUCAUAAUAAUCAUCUUCCAGAUCCUCUGGAUCAAAAGUACCAAGAUAGAGUUCGUUUGAUUGGUUGUGGAGAGCAGUAUUGGACGGAGUGCUUUCUGUCCGCUGCGAUGCAAGACCAGAAGGUGGACCAGAGGUUUCGUCAAUGUCUCCCCAGCCCCCUUCAUCAUUGUCUCUAACAUCGACAUCAGCUUCCAUCGCCUGACUGCUCCCUUCGAUAGGAUCCGCUAUAGUCAAGGCUCCUAGGUCAAGGUUAUCUUCCUCUUCGAUUUUUGAUUUGAAGAAACAGACCCUAUUAGUGGUUCCCCAAACGACGGUGAGCUUCCAGUCUAGGUCGGCAUGGAUGAUAACAUUUUCGGGUAGGUACGGGUCAUGCAGUUUGACCGUUUGAGAUGAUAUAAGAAUAUCAGCAUUCUGAAAGCAUACCGAUCUUGGCUGGAAGUAACGGAUGAAAAGUUGUAUGAAUUGAGCAAAUAAAGGUACCGUCUGAGGGUACAUGGGGAGCUCUGGAGGGUCCAGGAUGGAUAGUACUUUGAAUUUGGGCGAUAUACGAGUGGUUUUCGUAAAGUGUAGAUGGCUGAGCACUUGGUUGGCAUAACCUACAGAAGUAAAGGUAGCUUCAGAAACUGUGGAUUCAGGAGAAACGACAGAGUCAUAGCCACUAAUAAAUGGGCG
rnacentral:tRNA from 1 species